AAUGAAGGUUCAACUGGUGCAGCCUUUUCCACUUUGACCUCACCUAAUAUGCCCUUAAGGACAAGGUCCAAGGAGCCACAUUCUGAUAUACGUGAUUCACUGAGAGGAAUUUUCUCCCAUGCACCUUUUAAAAAGGUUACUGCGUAAUUAUUGCCUUAGGGAAGGAUUUCUGGGCAGGGAUCCCACGCAGCCUGAAGAAAAGAAAAGAAGGGAAGAAAGGAGGAAAGGGAAGGAAGUAACAAGAAAUGACAUCAAGAUUUGCUAUCCUGGCAGGAGAGAUAAGAAUUUUAGCUACUUACUGGGAACUGAUCCAGAUAGUCCAGCUGUCCAAGAGAAAUUGUGGCCAACAAACCAUCCUGAUCAAAAUAUGGUGCUGAACCUGGAGGGAAGAUGAAUAUUCAUAUCAAUGUGUUAUUUGGGAUUUUCCCCCUAAAUGAUCAAAACCAGAGUUUUUUCCAUACUGCUGUGAAUAGACGUUACAUGUGUAAAAUAUUUGAGUUUAGCUCAGAUGCAAACUUGUGCCUGAUAUAAAUGGUUUAGAACUUCCUUCUGAGGAACUGUUACAUCACUGUCCUUAUUUUCAAAAUUAGAAUAAAUUGGCUUUGAUCUGA